rnacentral:lncRNA from 1 species
UCAGAUUUCCAUAGGCUUUAUCUUAUUUUUUCUAAGCAACUGCUCAUAAACUUUUUUAAUAUCUUGACUAGCAUGAUGGUGCUACUUGCAAAUCUGUUCAUAGAGCUAUUAAUCUAUGAUAGUGCAAUCUAAUCUAGAGAAAGGAAUCACACUUACUUAGUUGUUCCGUUCAUUGUUUCAUUUAAAAAAACAUAAAUAACAAGUUGACAGGGUUUCUUUGUGCUUCUUUCUUUUCAACUGGCAUCUUAAAUAUUUCAAGAGAGGUUUGUCAAGACAUCACAAAAGUAGCUCUUAGUUCUGAUCUGAACUUUAUUGAACCCUGCUUUCAUGUAAUAGGAAGGAAAAACAAGUGAUCACUCUGAGUCCAUGACUCAAUGGCUACAGCAAACUCUCAGUGCUUUUGAUUCCUGUAUAGUAGCAGUCAGUACUCAGAUGAAUUUAGCAGAAUCAAACAUACACAAAAUCUGAAGGGAAAGCAAUCUCCUGUGGCUCCUGAAGAAGAAAUUUGACUUCUAAGGCAAGUUCGACAUGUGGGCUCCCUCCCUCCUCUCCUUUCUUCCCUGACCUCUCUCUGCAAGCUCCAUCUCUAACUGUCCCUGUGUAGCUCACUCUCAGCAUGAGCUUUGCCAGACAAAGUCUGCUGGUGGCAGCAGGGUAAGCAGAGGCUGCUGCUGAACAGUGACAGCCACAAACGUGAAAACAGCUGAGACCUGCAGUGACAUGCUGGUGAGACCCAUGCAGGCACCUGCACAACCCAGUGAUGUCCUAGUCCAUUCUGGGAAGGGCACCAGGGCUUCUGUUCCUGCUUGCAUCAGGAACUGGAGAUUUCAGAUGUACAUUCACCCUUGUGGCCAGGCCAUAUGUCCCAUGCAGCAGCAUGUGAUGCAUACACAAGGGAGAGACUGGCUGUAAAGUUCUGAUUUUUGAAGAAAGAAAAAUAUAUUAAGUGAAGAGCCUCAGAAUAAAGAAUUGGGAAAGCUCUUGUUUUGGUUGGAGCUACGUUUUUGCUGCCUGUUGCUUCCAGCCAACUAGAUAAGAAAAAUGAGCUUGUUUGCCUUUUGCGUGUUGCUGCAAUACACGCAUAUCAGUGCAUAUAGUCCAGAGA